UGAUUUGAGGCACCUGAGGAACUAAGAGCCCAGGAAGAAAGGACAGUAAUGAAAAAGCCAACAAAUGAGACCAGUAUUUAGUGGUAUUUCCCCUAUAGGCAAUUAUUUAUUCAAAAAUACAGGAACAGCAUUUAUUUGCUUAACUGCAGAUAUGCAAACAAAAAAUUUAAAUGGUCUUAGUUACUAUCUACAUGCAGAUGCUUCCAAUCUUAAUCUCUAGUCAUGACCACUGAUCCUUUUUUGAUUCCUUUAAUUCAAUUUAUAUAUCUCUAAGUGAAUAUCUUGUCAACACUGACAAUCAAGACUAAGAUGUAUUUAUUCUAUUCCAGAUUCUACUCUAAAAGUCACCAGGAAAAAUUCAGCUCCACUGGUCCUGGCUCUAAGUCUACUAGCAAAAUCUUCCAGAGAAGUGGAAAAGCCAUCAGCCAAUGUGUUAGACUAUCAUUUCCAUGACCUUACACCUAUCAAAAAGGCACUAUUACCAGGCUUAUAGAAUUCUAAAAAAGUUGGAAACCAUUUUCCAUUAUAAAAGAAAUUCUUCCAAAUCACACAAAACACUCUGACACUUCUCCAAUUCCCCCUAUCAUGGGGCUGGCAGCAGCCGCUUUGCGUCCUGAAUGUCAUGACAGUGAUGAUAACAGUAAUGAUGAUAACAGCAAUGAUGAAGUCUCACAUUUAAAAUUUUCAAGUCACUCAUCACAUCCCAAGUCACUCCCUUCAUUACCUUUUAUUUAUACUGGAGUCAUCCUGUGUGCCUCAGUCAGACCAUUUUGUAUGUACAAUGACCGACAAUGAGAUUUAACAUGCAGUUUGCAGAUCCUCCCUUCUCUGGGUCACCUGAAAAUAAGCCACAAACAAAG
rnacentral:lncRNA from 1 species